AGAUUGAACGCUAGCGGGAUGCUUUACACAUGCAAGUCGAACGGCAGCGCGGACUUCGGUCUGGCGGCGAGUGGCGAACGGGUGAGUAAUAUAUCGGAACGUGCCCAGUAGCGGGGGAUAACUACGCGAAAGCGUGGCUAAUACCGCAUACGCCCGUACGGGGGAAAGGGGGGAUUCUUCGGAACCUCUCACUAUUGGAGCGGCGAUAUCAGAUUAGCUAGUUGGUGAGGUAAAGGCUCACCAAGGCGACGAUCUGUAGCUGGUUUGAGAGGACGACAGCCACACUGGGACUGAGACACGGCCCAGACUCCGUACGGGAGGCAGCAGGUAGGGUAAUUUGGAACAAGU
rnacentral:rRNA from 1 species